GGUUAUAACUUAGUUGGUAGAGUGCUUGCCUAGCAUGCACAAGGUUCUGGGUUCAAUUCCUAGCAUAACCC
rnacentral:tRNA from 1 species